rnacentral:rRNA from 1 species
CUACCAUGCAGUCGAACGGGAACUGUCCGGAGCUUGCUUCGGACGGUUUCAGUGGCGGACGGGUGAGUAACGCGUGAGGAACCUGCCUUUCAGAGGGGGAUAACGUCCGGAAACGGACGCUAAUACCGCAUGACAUCCCGGGAUCACAUGGUUCUGGGAUCAAAGGAGCAAUCCGCUGGAAGAUGGACUCGCGUCCGAUUAGCCGGUUGGUGAGGUAACGGCCCACCAAAGCUGCGAUCGGUAGCCGGACUGAGAGGUUGAACGGCCACAUUGGGACUGAGACACGGCCCAGACUCCUACGGGAGGCAGCAGUGGGGGAUCUUGCACAAUGGAGGGAACUCUGAUGCAGCGACGCCGCGUGAGGGAAGACGGUUUUCGGAUUGUAAACCUCUGUCCCCGGUGACGAUAAUGACGGUAGCCGAGGAGGAAGCUCCGGCUAACUACGUGCCAGCAGCCGCGGUAAUACGUAGGGAGCGAGCGUUGUCCGGAUUUACUGGGUGUAAAGGGUGCGUAGGCGGCUGAACAAGUCAGGUGUGAAAACCAUCGGCUCAACUGAUGGAUUGCACUUGAAACUGUGCAGCUUGAGUGAAGCAGAGGCAGGCGGAAUUCCCGGUGUAGCGGUGAAAUGCGUAGAGAUCGGGAGGAACACCAGUGGCGAAGGCGGCCUGCUGGGCUUUAACUGACGCUGAGGCACGAAAGCAUGGGUAGCAAACAGGAUUAGAUACCCUGGUAGUCCAUGCC